rnacentral:rRNA from 1 species
GACGAACGCUGGCGGCGUGCUUAACACAUGCAAGUCGAACGGAGCGAAUGAAAGCUUGCUUUUAUGAGCUUAGUGGCAAACGGGUGAGUAACACGUAGACAACCUGCCGAUCAGAUGGGGACAACAUUCCGAAAGGAAUGCUAAUACCGAAUGGCGUGUAGGGGAGGCAUCUUCCCUACAUGAAAGAUGGCCUCUAUAUAUAAGCUAUCACUGAUCGAUGGGUCUGCGUCUGAUUAGCUGGUAGGUAAGGUAACGGCUUACCUAGGCGACGAUCAGUAGCCGGUCUGAGAGGAUGAACGGCCACAUUGGGACUGAGACACGGCCCAGACUCCUACGGGAGGCAGCAGUGGGGAAUCUUCCGCAAUGGGCGCAAGCCUGACGGAGCAACGCCGCGUGAGUGAAGAAGGUCUUCGGAUCGUAAAGCUCUGUUGAAGGGGACGAACGUACGCAGUGCGAAUAGUGCUGUGUAAUGACGGUACCUUUUGAGGAAGCCACG